CCGCCCCUCAGCCUAGAGAAGCCCGGCGCUUCCCACUUCCAGUGCGCAGGCAGCGCCGCCGGAACCGGGCGUGGCCUCGGCGCAAUGCCCGCUGGGAAGCGUAGUCCCAAGCAGGGACGGAUGCGGCGGCCCUCGGAGCUCAGGUUGCAAGAUACGGUUUGGCCCCGGGCCUAUGCAACGCCCGUCCGUCCUGCCCUCUGCGGGUCGCUCUCACUUGUCCCUGGACCGCAGCCGCCGCAUAAGUGGUGGCCAACGCUGGGCCUGGGUGUGGCCGGAAGCAGAGGCCGCUCUGACUACACACCCACCCCCCAAAGGCUUCUGGGAGUCGCGCAGGCGCAGCGGCAGACCGGGUGAGGCGGGGCUUGCGGCGAGGGGUGGGACCGCAGGGCCGGAGUAAAAGGGUGCUUGGCUGUGACAGGUCUCCUGGCCUCAGUGAUGGAAUUAAGAUGACUUCUAUCUCUGAAUCCAAGGGUGACUGAAAGCCGCAAGCUGCAGAAAGGACAAGAGGCAUCACCUAUGUGGAUAAAGACAGCAUCCUGAGUUGAUGGAGAAAUGGCAUAGAAGGAACCAGGUCCUUUGAUGACAUCAUGGAGCAAAGCUGUCUUCUUGCCUUGACCUGCUACCUACCUACAUGGGAAGCUGUUACUUGAGAAGGCAAUAAAAUCUAUCUUCUUUAUUGACAGAGUUGACAAUACCUUUUUUAUCUUAUUGUAGCAGUCACUUAUCCUCAAAUGACUGCUAUAUCCUAUUUUCCUAUUAUAUGGGGCUAUAUGCGUCCUUGUUCAUAUUUAGCAGAGAAGCA
rnacentral:lncRNA from 1 species